rnacentral:rRNA from 1 species
AGUGGCGGACGGGUGAGUAACGCGUGAGAAUCUGCCUUGGGGUCGGGGACAACCACUGGAAACGGUGGCUAAUACCGGAUAAGCCGAUUGGUGAAAGAUUUAUUGCCCGAAGAGGAGCUCGCGUCUGAUUAGCUAGUUGGUGAGGUAAGAGCUCACCAAGGCAGCGAUCAGUAGCUGGUCUGAGAGGACGAUCAGCCACACUGGGACUGAGACACGGCCCAGACUCCUACGGGAGGCAGCAGUGGGGAAUUUUCCGCAAUGGGCGGAAGCCUGACGGAGCAAGACCGCGUGAGGGAGGAAGGCUCUUGGGUUGUAAACCUCUUUUCUCAGGGAAGAAGCUCUGACGGUACCUGAGGAAUCAGCCUCGGCUAACUCCGUGCCAGCAGCCGCGGUAAUACGGAGGAGGCAAGCGUGAUCCGGAAUUAUUGGGCGUAAAGCGUCCGCAGGUGGCGAUUCAAGUCUGCUGUCAAAGCACGGGGCUUAACUCCGUAAAGGCAGUGGAAACUGAAUAGCUAGAGUGCCGUAGGGGUAGAGGGAAUUCCCGGUGUAGCGGUGAAAUGCGUAGAGAUCGGGAAGAACAUCGGUGGCGAAAGCGCUCUACUGGACGGCAACUGACACUCAGGGACGAAAGCUAGGGGAGCGAAUGGGAUUAGAUACCCC